rfam:TPA: Bos taurus chromosome 4, whole genome shotgun sequence.
UCCCUGGUGGUCCAGUGGCUACGAUGCUGUGCUUCCAAAGCAGGGGGCCCAGGUUUGAUCCCCGGUCAGGAAA